rnacentral:rRNA from 1 species
GAGUUUGAUCGUGGCUCAGGACGAACGCUGGCGGCGUGCUUAACACAUGCAAGUCGAACGGUAAGGCUCCAGCUUGCUGGGGUACACGAGUGGCGAACGGGUGAGUAACACGUGGGUGACCUGCCCUGCACUUCGGGGAUAAGCCUGGGAAACUGGGUCUAAUACCGGAUAGGACCGCACCGUGAGGGUGUGGUGGAAAGUUUUUUCGGUGUGGGAUGGGCCCGCGGCCUAUCAGCUUGUUGGUGGGGUAAUGGCCUACCAAGGCGGCGACGGGUAGCCGGCCUGAGAGGGUGGACGGCCACAUUGGGACUGAGACACGGCCCAGACUCCUACGGGAGGCAGCAGUGGGGAAUAUUGCACAAUGGGCGGAAGCCUGAUGCAGCGACGCCGCGU